rnacentral:tRNA from 1 species
ACUCCCUUAGUAUAUUAGUAUAGCUGACUUCCAAUUAGCAGGACCCAAAAGCUUUGGGAUGGAGUA